GCUGGCGGCAUGCUUUACACAUGCAAGUCGAGCGGCAGCGCGGGGGCAACCCUGGCGGCGAGCGGCGAACGGGUGAGUAAUACAUCGGAACGUGUCCCGUAGUGGGGGAUAGCCCGGCGAAAGCCGGAUUAAUACCGCAUAUGCUCUACGGAGGAAAGUGGAGGACUCGCAAGGGCCUCACGCUAUGGGAGCGGCCGAUGUCCGAUUAGCUUGUUGGCGGGGUAAUGGCCCACCAAGGCGACGAUCGGUAGCUGGUCUGAGAGGAUGAUCAGCCACACUGGGACUGAGACACGGCCCAGACUCCUACGGGAGGCAGCAGUGGGGAAUUUUGGACAAUGGGGGGAACCCUGAUCCAGCCAUGCCGCGUGCGGGAAGAAGGCCUUCCGGUUGUAAACCGCUUUUGGCCGGAAAGAAAAGGCGCACCCUAAUACGGGGCGUUCUUGACGGUACC
rnacentral:rRNA from 1 species